CUCCUCCUCCUCCUCAACCUCGCUCUCUCUCUCCCCCUCCCCCCUCUCUCUCUCUGUCUCGCGGGAGAGGACACAAGAGCCAGUAGGCGAUGGCCCAGCAAUGGUGGUGGCCCCCUCCCCUCCGCUAGAUCCGGUGAGAGGGGAGGCACCGGCAGCCCGACGGGAAGGGAGGCGAUGGUUGCCAAGAAGGGAGGAAGAGAGGCGCAUUCACCGAGCGGUCUCCCCGUACGCCUCCGACUCGUUCUCCUCUCUCCAGCAGCCCGGCGGUGUUGCUGUCUCUUCCGCUAGAUCCGGCGGGAGGUGAGGUGGUGGCGACGGUUCGGCGGUGGCCUGGCAUUGGCGCCCUCCCCUCCUGGCGGCGGGGCUCUGCGGGACAACGUCGGCAGCAUCCGCAGCGACGGAGCAUCGGCGGCGGGGCCUCCCACUGCGGAUCCGACGUUAUCAGUAGUUAAUUUAAUCAUUUGUGUUCAUCUUGUGCAUGGUGUCAAUCCGUGUUCAUUUGUUCAUAUAUUAAUCUGUGUUCAUUUGUUCACCUUGUCCAUGGUGUCGAAGUAUCGACUCGAGCCGGGUUCCUUUUUUGUAGCUCGUGGAUUCCACUUUGGUGCCGGUUUUUAAAUGGGAUUGGUGCCGGUGCACUCAUCA